ACCCAGGUGCUUGUCAUCGGGAGACUCCCCGGCCCAACCUGGGAAGAAUGGUCCCAUGGGAAAACACAAGCUGUAGGACAUGGCAAGAUGGAACUUCAAGACAAGUCAUGUUGUAUAGACAGGACAAC